rnacentral:rRNA from 1 species
GACGAACGCUGGCGGCGUGCUUAACACAUGCAAGUCGAACGGAAAGGCCCUGCUUUUGUGGGGUGCUCGAGUGGCGAACGGGUGAGUAACACGUGAGUAACCUGCCCUUGACUUUGGGAUAACUUUAGGAAACUGGGGCUAAUACCGGAUAGGAGCUCCUGCUGCAUGGUGGGGGUUGGAAAGUUUCGGCGGUUGGGGAUGGACUCGCGGCUUAUCAGCUUGUUGGUGGGGUAGUGGCUUACCAAGGCUUUGACGGGUAGCCGGCCUGAGAGGGAGACCGGCCACAUUGGGACUGAGAUACGGCCCAGACUCCUACGGGAGGCAGCAGUGGGGAAUAUUGCACAAUGGGCGGAAGCCUGAUGCAGCAACGCCGCGUGCGGGAUGACGGCCUUCGGGUUGUAAACCGCUUUCGCCUGUGACGAAGCGUGAGUGACGGUAAUGGGUAAAGAAGCACCGGCUAACUACGUG